GUGUCAGCAGCCGCGGUAAUACGAAGGGUGCUAGCGUUGUUCGGAAUUACUGGGCGUAAAGCGUAGGUAGGCGGUUUACCAAGUCAGGGGUGAAAUCCCGAGGCUCAACCUCGGAAUUGCCUUUGAAACUGGUAGGCUGGAGAAUGUUAGAGGCAAGUGGAAUUCCUAGUGUAGUAGUGAAAUCCGUAGAUAUUAGGAGGAACAUCAAUGGCGAAGGCAGCUUGCUGGGACAUUACUGACGCUGAGCUACGAAAGCGUGGGGAGCAAACAGGAUUAGAUACCCUGGUAGUCC
rnacentral:rRNA from 1 species